rnacentral:tRNA from 1 species
UAGCUCAGUUGGUUAGAGCAGACGGCUCAUAACCGUCCGGUCGCAGGUUCGAGUCCUGCAAGGUCCA